rnacentral:rRNA from 1 species
CCUACGGGGGGCAGCAGUGGGGAAUAUUGCACAAUGGGGGAAACCCUGAUGCAGCGACGCCGCGUGAGUGAAGAAGUAAUUCGUUACGUAAAGCUCUAUCUGCAGGGAAGAAAAUUACGGUACCUGAGUAAGAAGCCCCGGCGAAAUACGUGCCAGCAGCCGCGGUAAAACGUAGGCGGCAAGCGUUAUCCGGAUUUACCGGGUGUUAAGGGAGCGUAGGCGGUGCGCGAAGUCUGGAGUGAAAUGCCGCAGUUUAAAUGCGGAACUGCUUUGGAAACUGGCGAACUAGAGUUCGGGAGGGGUAAGCGGAAUGCGUAGUGUAGCGGUGAAAUGCUUAGAUAUUAGGCGGAACACCGGUGGCGAAGGCGGCUUACUGGACCGUAACUGACGUUGAGGCUCGAAAGCGUGGGGAGCAAACAGGAUUAGAUACCCGAGUAGUC